CCUACGGGAGGCAGCAGUGGGGAAUAUUGCACAAUGGGGGAAACCCUGAUGCAGCGACGCCGCGUGAGUGAAGAAGUAAUUCGUUAUGUAAAGCUCUAUCAGCAGGGAAGAAAAUGACGGUACCUGAGUAAGAAGCCGCGGCUAACUACGUGCCAGCAGCCGCGGGAAUACGUAGGGGGCAAGCGUUAUCCGGAUUUUCUGGGUGGAAAGGGAGCGUAGACGGUGAGGCAAGUCUGGAGUGAAAGGCCGCGGCCUAACUGCGGAACUGCUUUGGAAACUGGAGGACUAGAGUGCGGGAGGGGUAAGCGGAAUUCCUAGUGUAGCGGUGAAAUGCGUAGAUAUUAGGAGGAACACCGGUGGCGAAGGCGGCUUACUGGACCGUAACUGACGUUGAGGCUCGAAAGCGUGGGGAGCAAACAGGAUUAGAUACCCGUGUAGUC
rnacentral:rRNA from 1 species